GUCUGUUUGAAGGUAUAAGGAGUCUAGUCUGCCCACUGAUAAAAAGUAUUAAAGGGCCGCAGUAUUCUGACUGUGCAAAGGUAGCAUAAUCACUAGGUUUUUAAUUGAGAUCUUGUAUGAAUGGCUUGACAAGAAAAAUACUGUCUUUGUAAAAAAGUUUGAAUUUAACUUUUAAGUGAAAAGGCUUAAAUGAACUAAGGGGACGAUAAGACCCUAUAAAACUUUACAUUAAAAAUUAAUAUUUAUAAAUUUAUUUAAUAAGAAUUAAGUUUAGUUUAUUUGUUGUGUUGGGGAGACAAAGGCUAUAAUUUAUAUUAACUGCUUGCAAGAAAAACAGAAAUAAGUGAUUAAUUAAGGGAUCCUUUAUAUAGAUUGUAAGAUUAAGUUACUUUAGGGAUAACAGCGUUAUUUUUUUUAAGAGUCCAUAUCGAAAAAAGAGAUUGCGACCUCGAUGUUGAAUUAAAAUAUCUUUAUAAUGCAGGAGUUAUGGAAGAAGGUCUGUUCGACCUUUAAUUUUUUACAUGAUUUGAGUUCAAACCGGCUGAG
rnacentral:rRNA from 1 species